AACGCUGGCGGCAUGCCUUACACGAUGCAAGUCGAACGGCAGCACGGGAGCAAUCCUGGUGGCGAGUGGCGAACGGGUGAGUAAUAUAUCGGAACGUGCCCAGUCUGGGGGGAUAACGUAGCGAAAGCUACGCUAAUACCGCAUACGAUCUAUGGAUGAAANCGGGGGAUCGCAAGACCUCGCGCGAUUGGAGCGGCCGAUAUCAGAUUAGGUAGUUGGUGAGGUAAAGGCUCACCAAGCCGACGAUCUGUAGCUGGUCUGAGAGGACGACCAGCCACACUGGGACUGAGACACGGCCCAGACUCCUACGGGAGGCAGCAGUGGGGAAUUUUGGACAAUGGGCGCAAGCCUGAUCCAGCAAUGCCGCGUGCAGGAUGAAGGCCUUCGGGUUGUAAACUGCUUUUGUACGGAACGAAACGGUAAGCUCUAAUACAGUUUGCUAAUGACGGUACCGUAAGAAUAAGCACCGGCUAACUACGUG
rnacentral:rRNA from 1 species